rnacentral:rRNA from 1 species
AGCGAACGCUGGCGGUAGGCUUAACACAUGCAAGUCGAACGGCAGCACAGUAAGAGCUUGCUCUUACGGGUGGCGGGUGGCGGACGGAAGAGGAAUAUAUCGGAACCUACUUUUUCGUGGGGGAUAACGUAGGGAAACUUAAGCUAAUACCGCAUACGACCUACGGGUGAAAGCAGGGGAUCUUUGGACCGUGUGCGAUUGAACGAGCCGAUGACGGAUUAGCUGGUUGGCGGGGUAAAGGCCAACCAAGGCGGCGAUCCGUAGCUGGUCUGAGAGAAUGGUCAGCCACAUGGGAGGGGAGACGGCGUCCAGACUCCUGCGGGAGGCAGCAGUGUGGAAUAGGGGACAAUGGGCGCAAGCCUUAUACAGCCAGACCGCGUGUGUGGAGACGGCGUUCGGGUUGGGAAGCCCUUUUGUUGGGAAAGAAAAGCAGCAGGUUAAUACCCCGCUGUUCUGACGGUACCCGAAGAAUAAGCACCGGCUAACUUCGUG